rnacentral:rRNA from 1 species
UACGUAGGCAGCGAGCGUUGUUCGGAAUCACUGGGCGUAAAGCGGGCGCAGGCGGACUAUCCAGUCAGGGGUGAAAGCCCAAGGCUUAACCUUGGAAUUGCCUUUGAAACUGAUAGUCUGGAGUGUGUGAGGGGGUAGCGGAAUUCCGAAUGUAGAGGUGAAAUUCGUAGAUAUUCGGAGGAACACCGGUGGCGAAGGCGGCUACCUGGCACACAACUGACGCUGAGGCCCGAAAGCGUGGGGAUCAAACAGG